GACUGGGGCGGUCGCCUCCUAAAAGGUAACGGAGGCGCUCAAAGGUUCCCUCAGAAUGGUUGGAAAUCAUUCAUAGAGUGUAAAGGCAUAAGGGAGCUUGACUGCGAGACCUACAAGUCGAGCAGGGUCGAAAGACGGACUUAGUGAUCCGGUGGUUCCGCAUGGAAGGGCCAUCGCUCAACGGAUAAAAGCUACCCCGGGGAUAACAGGCUUAUCUCCCCCAAGAGUUCACAUCGACGGGGAGGUUUGGCACCU
rnacentral:rRNA from 1 species